rnacentral:rRNA from 1 species
GACGAACGCUGUCGGCGUGCUUAACACAUGCAAGUCGAACGGAAAGGCCCUGCUUUUGUGGGGUGCUCGAGUGGCGAACGGGUGAGUAACACGUGAGUAACCUGCCCUUGACUUUGGGAUAACUUCAGGAAACUGGGGCUAAUCCCUGAUAGGAGCUCCUGCUGCAUGGUGGGGGUUGGAAAGUUUCGGCGGUUGGGGAUGGACUCGCGGCUUAUCAGCUUGUUGGUGGGGUAGUGGCUUACCAAGGCUUUGACGGGUAGCCGGCCUGAGAGGGUGACCGGCCACAUUGGGACGGAGAUACGGCACAGACUCCUACGGGAGGCAGCAGUGGGGAAUAUUGCACAAUGGGCGGAAGCCUGAUGCAGCAACGCCGCGUGGGGUAUGACGGCCAUCGGGUUGUAAACCGCUGUCGCCUGUGACGAAGAGUGAGUGACGGUAAUGGGUAAAGAAGCACCGGCUAACUACGUG